rnacentral:rRNA from 1 species
CCUACGGGGGGCAGCAGUGGGGAAUAUUGGACAAUGGGGGGAACCCUGAUCCAGCCAUGCCGCGUGUGUGAAGAAGGCCCUCGGGUUGUAAAGCACUUUCAGUGAGGAAGAACGCCUGGUGGUUAAUACCCAUCAGGAAAGACAUCACUCACAGAAGAAGCACCGGCUAACUCCGUGCCAGCAGCCGCGGUAAUACGGAGGGUGCGAGCGUUAAUCGGAAUUACUGGGCGUAAAGCGCGCGUAGGUGGCUUGAUAAGCCGGUUGUGAAAGCCCCGGGCUCAACCUGGGAACGGCAUCCGGACCUGUCAAGCUAGAGUGCAGGAGAGGAAGGUAGAAUUCCCGGUGUAGCGGUGAAAUGCGUAGAGAUCGGGAGGAAUACCAGUGGCGAAGGCGGCCUUCUGGACUGACACUGACACUGAGGUGCGAAAGCGUGGGUAGCAAACAGGAUUAGAUACCCUGGUAGUC